rnacentral:rRNA from 1 species
AAUACAUCGGAACGUACCCAGAAGUGGGGGAUAACGUAGCGAAAGUUACGCUAAUACCGCAUACGUUCUACGGAAGAAAGUGGGGGAUCGCAAGACCUCAUGCUUUUGGAGCGGCCGAUGUCUGAUUAGCUAGUUGGUGAGGUAAAGGCUCACCAAGGCGACGAUCAGUAGCUGGUCUGAGAGGACGACCAGCCACACUGGAACUGAGACACGGUCCAGACUCCUACGGGAGGCAGCAGUGGGGAAUUUUGGACAAUGGGCGCAAGCCUGAUCCAGCAAUGCCGCGUGAGUGAAGAAGGCCUUCGGGUUGUAAAGCUCUUUUGUCAGGGAAGAAACGGCUGAGGCUAAUAUCCUCGGCUAAUGACGGUACCUGAAGAAUAAGCACCGGCUAACUACGUGCCAGCAGCCGCGGUAAUACGUAGGGUGCAAGCGUUAAUCGGAAUUACUGGGCGUAAAGCGUGCGCAGGCGGUUUUGUAAGUCUGACGUGAAAGCCCCGGGCUCAACCUGGGAAUUACGUUGGAGACUGCAAGGCUUGAAUCUGGCAGAGGGGGGUAGAAUUCCACGUGUAGCAGUGAAAUGCGUAGAGAUGUGGAGG